rnacentral:rRNA from 1 species
CCUACGGGAGGCAGCAGUGGGGAAUUUUGGACAAUGGGGGCAAGCCUGAUCCAGCCAUGCCGCGUGCGGGAAGAAGGCCUUCGGGUUGUAAAGCUCUUUCGUCCGGGAAGAAAUCGUUUUUUUUAAUACGUGGGGGGGAUGACGGUACCGGAAGAAGAAGCACCGGCUAACUACGUGCCAGCAGCCGCGGUAAUACGUAGGGUGCGAGCGUUAAUCGGAAUUACUGGGCGUAAAGCGUGCGCAGGCGGUUUUGUAAGACAGAUGUGAAAUCCCCGGGCUUAACCUGGGAACUGCAUUUGGGACUGCAAGGCUAGAGUGCGGCAGAGGGGGAUAGAAUUCCGCGUGUAGCAGUGAAAUGCGUAGAUAUGCGGAGGAACACCGAUGGCGAAGGCAGCCCCCUGGGCUAACACUGACGCUCAUGCACGAAAGCGUGGGGAGCAAACAGGAUUAGAUACCCUGGUAGUCCACGCCCUAAACGAUGUCAACUGGUUGUCGGAGGGGAGAUUCCUCAGUAACGCAGCUAACGCGUGAAGUGACCGCCU